CAGCAAAAGAAGGAGAGAGAGAAGCAAAGCGAAGAGAGAAGACAAAGAAGAAAGAAGACCUUGAGUGACCCCCUGCCAGAGAUUAAUAACAUCUUCUCAUUUGGGAUCCUCUGGACAAAGGGGUGUCGGAGAUGGGCAUGUGUUCAAGCAAGGACCGCCUUUACAUAAAAGGCUAUCGCCAGGGCUCACAGUGGAUCUACAGGAAGGAGGAGAGGAUCUG